GAUGAACGCUGACAGAAUGCUUAACACAUGCAAGUCGAUGGGGAAGUGGUGCUUGCCCCAUGGCAACCAUGGCGGACGGGUGAGUAACGCGUAAGGGACUUACCUGCAGGACUGGGAUAACAGGGGGAAACUCCUGACAAGACCGGAUAAUGUCAUGGAGCUGCAUGGCUUUAUGAUGAAAGGAGACGCCUGCGGAGAGCCUUGCGUCCUAUUAGCUAGUUGGUGAGGUAAUGGCUCACCAAGGCGAAGAUAGGUAGCCGGCCUGAGAGGGUGGACGGCCACAAGGGGACUGAGAUACGGCACUUACUCCUACGGGAGGAAGCAGUGGGGAAUAUUGGACAAUGGGGGCAACCCUGAUCCAGCAAUUCUGUGUGCACGAAGAAGGUUUUCGGAUUGUAAAGUGCUUUCAGCAGGGAAGAAGUAAGUGACGGUACCUGCAGAAGAAGCGACGGCUAAAUACGUG
rnacentral:rRNA from 1 species